GACGAACGCUGGCGGCGUGCUUAACACAUGCAAGUCGAACGGAAAGGCCCUGCUUUUGUGGGGUGCUCGAGUGGCGAACGGGUGAGUAACACGUGAGUAACCUGCCCUUGACUUUGGGAUAACUUCAGGAAACUGGGGCUAAUACCGGAUAGGAGCUCCUGCUGCAUGGUGGGGGUUGGAAAGUUUCGGCGGUUGGGGCUGGACUCGCGGCUUAUCAGCUUGUUGGUGGGGUAGUGGCUUACCAAGGCCUUGACGGGUAGCCGGCCUGAGAGGGUGACCGGCCACGUUAGGACUGGGAUACGGCCCAGACUCGUACGGGAGGCAACGGUGGAGAGUAGUACACAAUGGGAGGAAGCCUGAUGCGACAACGCCGCGUGCGGGAUGACGGCCUGCGGGUAGUAAACCGCUUUCGCCUGUGACGAAGCGUGAGUGACGGUAAUGGGUAAAGAAGCACCGGCUAACUACGUG
rnacentral:rRNA from 1 species